AGCAGCCUUUGAAUCCCAUCGUCUCUCAAACUCUCUCAAAGUUCUUCGUCACCCUAGUCGACUUCCACCCCUUUCAACCAUUACUCCACUAGAAUCCAUGGCUUCUUAGGCCAUGGAUGGCAUGUACUCAGCCCCCUCCACCAUUAGACCUUGGGUGUUCGAAAAUUUGAAGUCUGACCUCGAUGAUUCUUCCUCAGAUCUUCUCAGAUCUAUAGUUCAAUGGCUUCUCCGGCCUGCUCUGGCGUAUCCAAAGAACUAGAGUCUGUUUCUAACUUAGCCGACUCCAGAUCAGACUUUCUUCCAAACCUUUCUCGUUUCUAGGGUUUCUCAGAAAAUCUAAGCUAUUCAAGGUUUUUUCUCUGUUUUGUUUUCUUAGAUCUAUGUUGUACCUAUGCUUUAUUUGACUUUUAAAGUGUUUUCCCCAAAUUUCCCUUUUCAAUAUCAUUCGUUUUCGAUUUAGGGUUUCUGAAAGGGUUUUCAAAAGUGUUUCUGAUUCUUCCUUUUUCUUUACUUCAUGUAUGUUUGCGUAUACCAUGUUUUCCUAUGCUGUGUUUUACAAUGCAUGUAUUUUUCUUCUUCUUUUCUUUUUCUACUAUACAUGACACUCAUGUGCUUUGUAUUCUGACGUGCCUCUAGAUUAGGCUCAUGCUAAUCUUUGCUAUGUUUUCCUACAUGUUCGUUGUUAUACUUUCUAGUAUUCCUCUACUAUAUGUGUUUCUUGUUGAUUCAUUUAAUUUUGUUUUCUUUACUGAACUCUAUUCGAGUCCUUGCUAAACGUGUUUCAUCUACUAUUUCUUAAAAGUUUACAUCACCCAUCUUCUCUUCUGAACUUGCUUAAGUUCCGACUUUUCUUAAACAUGUUCUUUAUGCUCUUAAAUAAACUUUUUCACUUUGUUGCUUCAGACCUG
rnacentral:lncRNA from 1 species